rnacentral:tRNA from 1 species
GCGGUGUAGCCAAGCGGUAAGGCGAUGGUCUGCAAAACCAUUAUACCCCGGUUCGAAUCCGGGCACC